rnacentral:ncRNA from 2 species
AGCAGGGCACGCAACUGGCGAUAGGCGCGGAGGUCUUCCGGGACACCGCCGCUGACGUGGACACCGGCAGGAAACAGCGUUUUUCUGCAAACCACUGGGGAGCGUGCCGCGCGGCAGGCACCAGCCCCGCAGCGAUCCGUCGUUCGCCUGGGCAGCCCUU